GUGUUUGGAGAAGCUGUUACGUGUUUCUGUCACUCCAUAGCACAGGGUGCUGCAGGAGACAGAAUGAAGAGAAGCAGCUGAAGAAAGGAAAGCUGAUCCUCUGGCAGUGGGGAGCAAGAGGGCAUUUGGUUCUGCAGGAUGUUUAACCACAUCUGAAAGCCUCACCAUGGAAGUUCAGGAAGAGGUGAUGUCCCACUGCAGCCAGGUGGAAGGGAGCACCAGGUGUACAUCUCCUGUGUUCUAAUGUAUGCUCAGACUGAAAAAUAACCUCAUCUAAGUACUAAUAUUCAAAUAACAGUCACUACAAAUCCAUUUGUUCCUGCCACAGACUUCAGAAAAAUUGCUGCUUGUCUUCCCUCCCCCACGAGGCUGAGUCCCAGCACCCCAGAUUGUCGUGACUGCCUGGGAUUGGUGACAUCUCCAGUGAAAUGUGUUGGAGCAUCAAAACAGAGUGGGAGAAGCACAGCCUGGCUCUGGGAGCCAAAAAUAGUUUUCCUCUCACUUUGAAUUCUCUCAGUCUCACUUCCCCUGGCACAGGAGGAAAUGUGAUGGUGUUUACAGAGCAGAAGCACUGGGGCUCAGGAGAUGUGGAAGGUGGCCCUGCUGCUCUACCUCCAACAGCUCUCCAUGGUUCUGACCUCCUGUCAGGAUAACCUGCACUAAAACCCCUCUGCCUAUUCCUGUGUGAUCCUACAGUGCCCAACACAACCUCAGAGAUAACCCCAGUAAUGUAAUCCUGAGCUGACAUCGAUGCAGGCCAUCAGCAAUGUGGAAAUUUCCCUCUGUGAUGAGGGAUGUCAUGGCUGGCACAAGCUCCAGCACUCCAAGGGGGUGAGGCACAUGCUCAGUGUAUUUCAGGAUAAAUUGCAGCUGGUUGCUGGUAAUCCUUGUGGCAUAUCAGAUAGCAGCAUAGCUCGGCAAGGGUAAGCUGGAGAAACCCAAACAUCCUUCUGAGGAGGUAAUUAUUCCAUUGUGAAAAUGCCCCGGGAUAUUUUUAGUGGCCAAACCCCCUGUUUCCUGACAGAAACAUAAAAUAAUGAAGCAAGCUUCACAAGGAGUGACGCCUCAGACACCUGUAUUAGCUGGUGCUUUGCAGUCACGUCAGCGUUUAAUUCACUGUGUGCAUCCCUGUACGGCAGAAUCCACACCUGCGUUUGGGGCACUGAGCACUCUGCCAGCCUCUGCCUCGCACAAAACCCUCUCCAUAAACAAAUCUGCAAAUCCUGCUGGAUCAAGAAGAAUUUCACGGGAAUAUAGAGCUGCCCGCAACAAGAGGGACACCCUUGCCACACACACCGAGGUUACCAAGGGAAACUUUCCUUAACAGGAGUCUCACAACCAGCGUAAAAGCCUGGAUUUUUAGAACAAAAAAUUUAAAAUUCGUUGUUAAAUGUUUUGCAGGGGAUGUACCCAUGUUACAUGUCCUGCGGGUCUGGCUCUGUCCUGGUUACCUCCAGCCCCGGUCCCCAUAUAAUUUAUGUCCUGAACGAGACGACUCAAUUAGUCAAUAAUAAAAUGAUCAAGGACACCGUGUGCAUUGUAAAAAUAUAAUUUAGUGGGAAACAAGCUGAGAUGGAAAA